ACACUAACUAUGAAAGAAUAUAGAUAAUUCUCGAGUUAGUCUUGAAGCUUAGAUUUCAUGAAUUAAAAAUGUUUGAAAAUUUGAAUACUUGAAGCAAAAUAAGUAACAAAAUAGGAAACUUCCCAAAGAUUCAUCUAAAUUAGAUAUAAGAAGAAAGUGUUAGCAUUUCUAAAACAAAUUAAAAAAAAUAAGUCAAGAUAACAAAUAACAAUAAUCUAGGCACUUGGCCUAAAUGCACUUUGUUGCUGCCGAUCUAACUGGACUUUUUAAGUCCGAAAAGAGUCCAAUUUUCAGCCCUUUGGGGCUGCUGUCAUCCUGCCGGUUUAUCGAGGUUUUAACCCAAUUUUGCUCCUCGUUUUUCUGCCUUUUAGAUGCCUCUGCUGCUGCUGGUCAUUUUAUCAAGCUUUCAAGUCCAAAAUACUCAAAUUUCAGCCCUUUAGGACUCUCAUUACUUCGAUACUAAGUUGUUGAUUUUGGUUUGGACUUUAACCAAACAGUACUAGCCUUCUUUUAAGGACUUGGGUGAGGUCGACUCGAAUAUAAGAGUAUGCAAGAGAUGGGGAGUCCAUUGGACUCAUUCGGAGAGUUCAUGAAAAGAAGAUGAAUAAAAUGAUUAGCACGAGUGAAAUAAACAAGUAGGAGUCGCUACUUACAAAAUAAAACAACUCAAAGCAGCAAAUUGGUCAAAUAUUUGAUAUUCUAAUAAUAACCUAUUCCUUGUUAACUAAUUUAACACCAAUUGCCCAUAAAGAAAUAAAACAUCCAAUUUUAUACAACAUAGAGUAAUCAAUAUCAUGAAAAGAAAAUCACUAAACCUACACAUAAUGUACUACUCACAAACUCAUAUAAACUAUACUUUCGAGGAAAAUAAUUGACACUCUAACUCUCAUGGAUUAUGGAAAUAAAUAACAUGCAGCCAACUACAACAACAACAACAACAACAUACCCAGUGAAAUCCCACUAGGUGGGGUCUGGGGAGGGUAAAGUGUACGCAGACCUUACCACUACCUCGUGGAGGUAGAGAGGCUGUUUCCGGAAGACCCUCAGCUCAAGUGUAACAAAGCCAAGUAAAGGAAGAGAAUUAUAUAAAGCAUAACAUCCAAUAAGAAAAAUAGUGCAUAAUCAACAAAGGGGGCAAUACAUCAAGAAAAUAAUGCGAGAAGUGAAACGCAGUAAACAACAUAAGGCAAUAGGGAUCACAUACAAGAACUACAAGUGUACGGCUAAGACUCCUACAAACGCUAACAACCCAUACCCUCGCCAGGAAAGACAGCACGCUAACCCUACUA
rnacentral:lncRNA from 1 species